rnacentral:rRNA from 1 species
CAGGUAGGGAUACCCGCUGAACUUAAGCAUAUCAAU